GUCAUACUACGGUGCAUCAAGGGAUAAAGUAAACGAUGACCCUUAAGGAACUCUAGGCUAAAAUGCGUAUCAAAAUGCAAAAUCGACGCUGACUUGGAGCAAACCUCCGAGCUCGGUUUCUUUU
rfam:Serratia fonticola strain DSM 4576, complete genome.